CUCACAGGACAGCGAGCUCUGUGUUUACCGUGGACAAUUCUAAGCACCCAAAGAGGGAAUCACUGGUGGUGGAAAGUGCAGUUUCUGUGGAUUUCUCCUCAUUUCGUUCUAGAUGACAUCAUAAAGCGCCACAGGAAGGAGCAGACAGAUGCCAGCGCUGCGGGCGACAGCAGAAGGCAGCAGGUCAAGAACAGGAGUUCAGCCUCGGGGUACGGGCGGCCCCAGUACCGUGCCUGGAAGCAGAGGAAUUUGCAAGGACCUAACCGUUUCAGAAGAGGGUUUGGACAGCAACAAUUCAAUCGGAGACAAUUCAGGAAUACUUUGCCUGGUCGCAAGAGAAGAGCAGCUGCUGCAUUCGAUGGAGUGAGCCCUUUAAAUCGCCAGGCAUCGACUCAGGAGGGCAACAAGAAGAGCAGUGCUUUUGCCAAAAGCAGCAAUGGGCAGCAGGAGGAACAGCCACAGCCAUCUCCAGGCCCCAAGAGAUUCAGAGCAGAUGCUGCCAGCGUCCGAGCCCCAGGGAGAAGGCCUUUCCUGCUGAACAGGGGACCAGUGUUCCAGCAGAAGCGGGUGCAGCAGUGGUUCUACAAAGCCGGCUUCCAGAGAGGGCAGAUGGAUUCUAGAGGAGAAGGGAAACCGCCAAGGAUGAGAAGGUGGCAAGUGAAACCCAGCCCGGGAGCAAUUCUCACGGUUUCUGUGGUUAAUCCCCAGGCGGGCCAGACCAGCGCGCCUGGAUCCAAGCGCCCAUUCCUGCGAAGCCAGAGACCCCCGGCACGGGUGGCCAAGCCCCAGCCCAAGGGGGUGCUGCUGAGAUUCAACUUCCGUGCCAUGGCCAACCAGACCAGCCUGACGCUGGAUGAGAGGUUCUCUGGUCUGAGGAAUAAGAGGCGCUUUACAGCAGCCAGGAGCGCCGGACGGACGGUCACCAUGCCUUAGGACCGCGUGCUCGUCACAGGGACUGCCUGUGACAGUCCAGGCUCCAUGACAAGGGCUCAAUAAAAGUUGCUAGAUUCCCUUUGAGAUAGCUGAU
rnacentral:lncRNA from 1 species